UUAAAAAAUCUUCUACUCUAAGACUUAAAUUAUCAAAUAAAUUUAUCACCACUAGAUUUUUCUCUAAAAAGCUUACCCAUCUAAUCCUACAUUUAUUUUUAUAUACUGUUAAAAUAAGUAAAUUAUUACUAUUCCCCUUUCCAACUCGACCCUCUUUAAGGAGCCUGUUUAACAAAAACAUAGCCUACUAUUUAACUUAGGUACAACCCUGCCCUCUGACUUUUAACAGCCGCGGUAUCCUAACCGUGCUAAGGUAGCAUAAUCACUUGCCUAUUAAUUAUAGGCUAGAAUGAACGGGAUCACUCACUUAAACUUAUUUUUAUUUAAAUUUAAAUUAAACUUUAAGUCAAAAUACUAAAUUAAAAAGAAAGACAAAAAGACCCUGAAAACUAUUAGAAAUAAUUAGUUGGGGCAACUAUAGACCACUCUAGCGUCUAUUUUUUUUAACUCUUAAAAUCUAAAGUAUCCAGUUACUUCAGGGAUAACAGACUAAUUUUAUUAUUUAGACCCAAUAAAUAAUAAAGAUUGGCACCUCGAUGUUGGCUUAUAUUUCCUUCAUAUAGCAACAUAUAUAGAAGGCAGCUUGUUCAUCUGUUAAAUAUUUACAUGAGCUGAGUUCAGACCGGCGUAAGC
rnacentral:rRNA from 1 species